GAUGAACGCUGGCGGCGUGCCUAAUACAUGCAAGUCGAGCGAACGGGCGAUGAGCUUGCUUCUCGGAUGUUAGCGGCGGACGUGUGUGUAACACGUGGAUAAUCUACCUAUAAGACGGGUAUAACUUCGGGAAAGCGGAGCUAAUACCGGAUAAUAUUUUGAACCGCAUGGUGCAAAAGUGAAAGACGGUCUUUCUGUCACUUAUAGAUGGAUCCGCGCUGCAUUAGCUAGUUGGUAAGUUAAUCGGUUACCAAGGCAACGAUGCAUAGCCGACCUGAUAGGGUGAUAGGCGACACUGGAAGUGGGACAGCGACCAGACUACUAAGAGAGGCAGCAGAAGCGUAUGGUGCGCAAUAGGCGAAAACAUGGCGGAGUAGCGCGACGUGAGAGAUGACGGUGUUCGGAUCGUAAAGCUGGGUUAUGAGGGGAGAACCGAUGUGUCAGUAACUGUGGACAGCGUGACGGUAACUGAUCAGAAAGCCACGGCUAACUACGUG
rnacentral:rRNA from 1 species